rnacentral:tRNA from 1 species
GUGUGUGGCUUAUUGGUAGAGUGCUUGCUUAGUAUGCAUAUGGCCUGGGGUUCAAUUCCCAGCACUACA